AGGAGGAACAGCCCCAGUGGCGGGGCAGCUCUGGAAACCUGGAUUCAGCUCCGGCAGGAACUCCGUCUUCAGGGCCUGGAGGCUCCGGGGCGGG
rnacentral:pre_miRNA from 1 species